rnacentral:rRNA from 1 species
GAUGAACGCUAGCGAUAGGCUUAACACAUGCAAGUCGAGGGGCAGCAUGGUCUUAGCUUGCUAAGGCUGAUGGCGACCGGCGCACGGGUGCGUAACGCGUAUGCAACUUGCCUCACAGAGGGGGAUAACCCGUCGAAAGACGGACUAAUACCGCGUACACUCUAUGUUGGGCAUCCAAUGUAGAGGAAAUGAAAUUCGCUGUGAGAUAGGCAUGCGUCCCAUUAGCUAGUUGGUGAGGUAACGGCUCACCAAGGCGACGAUGGGUAGGGGAACUGAGAGGUUGAACCCCCACACUGGUACUGAGGCACGGACCAGACUCCUACGGGAGGCAGCAGUGAGGAAUAUUGGUCGAUGGGCGAGAGCCUGAACCAGCCAAGUCGCGUGAAGGAUGACUGUCUUAUGGAUUGUAAACUUCUUUUAUACGGGAAUAACAAGAGUCACGUGUGGCUCCCUGCAUGUACCGUAUGAAUAAGCAUCGGCUAACUCCGUG